rnacentral:rRNA from 1 species
UGAGGAAUAUUGGUCAAUGGACGGAAGUCUGAACCAGCCAAGUAGCGUGCAGGAUGACGGCCCUAUGGGUUGUAAACUGCUUUUGUAUGGGGAUAAAGUUAGGGACGUGUCCCUAUUUGCAGGUACCAUACGAAUAAGGACCGGCUAAUUCCGUGCCAGCAGCCGCGGUAAUACGGAAGGUCCAGGCGUUAUCCGGAUUUAUUGGGUUUAAAGGGAGCGUAGGCUGGAGAUUAAGUGUGUUGUGAAAUGUAGACGCUCAACGUCUGAAUUGCAGCGCAUACUGGUUUCCUUGAGUACGCACAACGUUGGCGGAAUUCGUCGUGUGGCGGUGAAAUGCUUAGAUAUGACGAAGAACUCCGAUUGCGAAGGCAGCUGACGGGAGCGCAACUGACGCUUAAGCUCGAAGGUGCGGGUAUCAAACAGG